rnacentral:rRNA from 1 species
UAAGCGGAGGAAAAGAAACUAACAAGGAUUCCCCUAGUAACUGCGAGUGAAGCGGGAAAAGCUCAAAUUUGGAAUCUGGUGGUCUUUGGCCAUNCGAGUUGUAAUUUAGAGAAGCGUCUUCCGCGCUGGNCCGUGCACAAGUCUCCUGGAAUGGAGCGUCAUAGAGGGUGAGAAUCCCGUCUUUGGCAUGGAAUCCCAGGGCUUCUGUGAUGCGCUCUCGACGAGUCGAGUUGUUUGGGAAUGCAGCUCAAAAUGGGUGGUGAACUCCAUCUAAAGCUAAAUAUUGGCGAGAGACCGAUAGCGAACAAGUACCGUGAGGGAAAGAUGAAAAGCACUUUGGAAAGAGAGUGAAACAGUACGUGAAAUUGUUGAAAGGGAAACGCUUGAAGUCAGUCGCGUCGACCGAGACUCAGCCUUGCCUCGGCUUGGUGUACUUCUCGGCUUGACGGGUCAGCAUCGAUUUCAAUCCUCGGAUAAUGGCAAGGGAAAGGUAGCACCUUUUUAGGUGUGUUAUAGUCCUCUGUCGCAUGCGAGGGUCGGGAUCGAGGAACUCAGCACGCACCUCAGGGUGUCGNGGCCAUGGCCCACGUUUACGUGCUUAGGAUGCUGGCGUAAUGGCUUUAAACGACC